UACGGGGGGGGCAAGCGUUGUUCGGAAUUACUGGGCGUAAAGAGCUCGUAGGUGGUUUGUCGCGUUGUUCGUGAAAACUCACAACUCAAUUGUGGGCGUGCGGGCGAUACGGGCAGACUGGAGUACUGCAGGGGAGACUGGAAUUCCUGGUGUAGCGGUGGAAUGCGCAGAUAUCAGGAGGAACACCGGUGGCGAAGGCGGGUCUCUGGACAGUUCCUGACACUGAGACACGAAGGCCAGGGGAGCAAACGGG
rnacentral:rRNA from 1 species